AUGGUAGGAUAGAGGCCUACCAUGGUGGUAACGGGUAACGGGGUGUUAGGGCACGACACCGGAGAGGGAGCCUGAGAAACGGCUACCACAUCCAAGGAAGGCAGCAGGCGCGCAAAUUACCCAAUCCCGACACGGGGAGGUAGUGGCAAUAAAUAACAAUACGGGGUUCUUUGAAUCUUGUAAUUGGAAUGAGUACAAUUUAAAUCUCUUAACGAGGAACAAUUGGAGGGCAAGUCUGGUGCCAGCAGCCGCGGUAAUUCCAGCUCCAAUAGCGUAUAUUAAAGUUGUUGCAGUUAAAAAGCUCGUAGUUGAAUUUCGGGAUCAAUACGUCGGUCGUGCUUUCGGGUACGUACUGGCGUCAUUGGUUUCUCCUUUCUGACGAACCAUGAUGUCAUUAAUUUGGUGUUAUGGGGAGUUAGGACUGUCACUUUGAAAAAAUUAGAGUGUUUAAAGCAGGCAUUAGCUUGAAUACAUUAGCAUGGAAUAAUGAAAUAGGACGUUCGAUCCUAUUUUGUUGGUUUCUAGGAUCAACGUAAUGAUUAAUAGGGAUAGUUGGGGGCAUUAGUAUUCAAUUGUCAGAGGUGAAAUUCUUGGAUUUAUUGAAGACUAACUACUGCGAAAGCAUUUGCCAAGGAUGUUCUCAUUAAUCAAGAACGAAAGUUAGGGGAUCGAAGACGAUCAGAUACCGUCGUAGUCUUAACCAUAAACUAUGCCGACUAGGGAUCGGAUGAUGUUAAUUUUUUAAUGACUCAUUCGGCGCCUUACGGGAAACCAAAGUGUUUGGG
rnacentral:rRNA from 1 species